rnacentral:rRNA from 1 species
UGGGGAAUAUUGGACAAUGGGCGGAAGCCUGAUCCAGCAACGCCGCGUGAGGGAUGACGGCCUUCGGGUUGUAAACCUCUUUCAGUACCGACGAAGCGAAAGUGACGGUAGGUACAGAAGAAGGACCGGCCAACUACGUGCCAGCAGCCGCGGUAAUACGUAGGGUCCGAGCGUUGUCCGGAAUUAUUGGGCGUAAAGGGCUCGUAGGCGGUUUGUCGCGUCGGGAGUGAAAACACCGGGCUUAACUCGGUGCUUGCUUUCGAUACGGGCAGACUAGAGGUAUGCAGGGGAGAAUGGAAUUCCUGGUGUAGCGGUGAAAUGCGCAGAUAUCAGGAGGAACACCGGUGGCGAAGGCGGUUCUCUGGGCAUUACCUGACGCUGAGGAGCGAAAGUGUGGGGAGCGAACA